rnacentral:lncRNA from 1 species
GCUCUGCCUCGCUGUAUUACUGUUGAAGUACUGCCUCCUGCCGGCGGGAGGACUGCACUGCAUGCUCCCUUUGAUCGAGAGGUGUCGCGGUGGCUCCAGUUUCGAAAUUUUGUAAAGUCUGUGUGGCAGUGACCCCAGGUGGUGAAGAGAAGAAACUGUCCGAGCCCGCACUUUUCUGGCAGAAAAGUAGACCCUGGUUCUCAUUCGUUCAAAAUCCAUUCGUUUAUAUUCCAAAAGGUGAGCAUAGAUCUUCGUAGGCGACAUUCUGCGAAAGAAUGCCAUGGCAUUCAAGUGAGUGUAACACAAAGGAAACUAGGGUUACAGAAGAGAAUGCGAGUAGUAUAAAACCUCACAGUUAAAAUGGUGUAAAUCACAGAAGCUAGGAGGGCAACAGAAAAUGAAAUUUCUCAGGAAGAUGAUUUUUGCACGUUCGAGUCUAAAAAGCUGCGGUUCCCACCCUUCCAGCAAUAACAUCAGGCACUCGAUCUGGGCCUGAUGUUUCCUUGGGGAACGCGUGUCUUUUCCACUGCGUCCUUUAGUGCGCUGCCGGUGUGCAUGACAGAAGAGGCCCUGCACUUUGAUCGGGAGUACAGCUCUGAGUGGCAGCCUUCAUGUGGUCCCCAGCGUGUGAUCAGGACCCCUGUGCCCUGCCUAGAGAAAUCUGAUGGAAAUGACAAGGUGAGAAAUUGGAUUUAGUGCCACCAUAACAGGCUGCACCUGUAGAUUUUACAGAAUUAGCAGCAGCAUUCUCUCAACACUGGCUUUGAAAGAAAGAAGUCUGUUUGCAAAGCGCCAACCAGGCAGAGCCUGAAGUGUUCUCACACACCUGCCGAACAAGCUUGGCAGUGCUGUCCAGCCAUCCACCAGCCACUCAUUUCACAGAGACUGAAGGGUAUGUGCUCUAACCUCUCUUGCACUGCUGUCCUUUAUCAGCUCCUCCUGGGAUUAUUAAUUUGACAGAUGCCCUUGCAGCUGAUAGGGGGCUUUUCUGCUCCUGCCUCCGGUCCCCGCAGAUAGAUUACCAG